CUCUCUCUUCCAACUUCUCUUCUUCCUUUUAUUAUCCUGAAUCUAGAAUUUGUGUGCCCAUGUCUGUCUCAGUAUUGCCUUCCCCCGUAGAAACCCUAAAAUCAAAAUCAUGGAGUAUAGGCGUGCUACUUUUCUAACAAUCGUAUCUUUAUUAUUUUGAAUCUUAUACCGAGUGAUGUUUGUUUUUUAUCUGAUUCAUAGGAACCAUUAAAUGGAAGUUGAGAGGGUUGAGGUUGGCACUGCAUGUGUGUUGUAUAUCGGAACUGAGAUUGUAAUCAUUCAUCAAACAAAAUGGCCGCAACAACUCAAACUGAGCUCAUUCUUCGUGUCCACUAUAGAACCCAAGGAUUCCAUGUAUCAUUCAUAUAGUAUUGUUUCUUCUCUCGGUACUAUACUAUACUAAUCAAUUACUACUAAUUAAUUUCUGAACAAUAUGGAAUUUCUGUUAUUCACUAUGCAUUCAGUCAAGGAAUUACUUUUUUUAUACGGCUGAUUUUUAUGGAACUAAUGCUGCUAACGAAAUUUUGGUUGGAAAGGUACUUACAUACUAUUUAUUACCACAUGUUCAACAUGUUUCUGAUUUAAUUUAUGCUGACUUGAUUUUGUUGACUAAGCUUUGAGAUGGUCCUGGUUUCACUGGUGUCAGCGUCAAGGGUUCGCCAGAGUAUGUGCGCUCAUGCUGCGAAGCUAGCUUGAAACGUCUUGGUGUUGAGUACAUUGAUCUCUGUUAUCAACACCAAGUUGUUACACAUGUGCCUAUUGAGGAUACAAUUAAUAAUUCUUCCUAAAUUGCAUUAUAUGACUGAUUUUACUAGAUUCAUUGUUAACAUGUUUGUUCGGUUAUAGGUUAGUGAACUUAAGAAACUGGUGGAAGUAGGAGAAGUGAAGUAUAUUGCCCUAUCUGAAGCUAACCCGGAUAUGUUAAGGAUAGCACAUGUUGUUCAUCCCAUCACAACUGUACAAAUAGAGUGGUCUCUUGGGACUCACGAUAUUGAGGACGAGAUAGUUCUUUUAUGCAGGUUAGUUUUAGUUCCUCUCCAAGUUUGAACCACCAACUUCUGGUUAUGUUUGUGUUAAAUGAGACUUUGCUUAUUUAUAGUUUUUGCUGAUAUAGAGAGCUUGGUAUUGGAAUUGUACCAUAUAGUCCUCUUGGUCAUGGUUUUUUCGGUGGCAAAAGAGUUUUGGAAAAUGUACCUGCAGCUAACACCUUGGAAACAGGAAUUGUCAAGACUAGAUGUCAAGUUAGGAAAUAGGAAUAUUGUCUUUGGUUGAUAGACAAUAUAAGCACAUGUUAUUUAGAUGCCAGAUCUUCCUCGGCUUAUAGCAAAGGUGUUGCAAUUGAUGAAUGGGAUGGGGUGACUUCACAACUUUCGGAUAA